UGAAAUUUUAUGCUCCUAGUAAGUAUGUCCCCCUAUUCUUAACAGGCCCUGUUUACAGAGUGCAAGAGGCGCUUAGACUACUCCAUGUUCCUGUUCUGGAGGCUAGAAGUCUGAAAUCAAGUUGUUGACAGGGUUAAGUGGAUAGAUCUGGUGGAGGAGAGAUAUGACAUGUCUCUACUUGGACUAUGAGAUAGAGGGACUGGCAUCUUAGUACUGCAAACCUCAGUGACAAUUUAGAUCAGGCCCAAAUAAUCAAAGGGGCUGCGACAUUUGCAUUUCCACCGGCAGUGAAAAAGAGCUCCUGUUGCUCUACAUCCUUGGCAACAUUUGGUAUUGACGGUGUUCUGGAUAAUGGCAUUUCUAAUAGGUUUUUCAACCAAAUAAAAGCAUCUGCAUUCUUACUUUAGACUGCUAACUAAGAUCCCAUAUAGGUAAGUUCUUACUUAACACUGCUAAGCUGCCAGUCCAAAUUGGGAUGGGUAACCAAAAAAUGGAGCCAAACAGUAAAUGUUACUUGUCUUUCACAGCUGUUUUUCAACUCCUGUUACCUUAAGACUAUUCCACAUUGUCCGGUGUCAGGAUCUAAAAGCAAAUAGGUGACUUUCUAUUUGGUUUUUAACUGUAAUAUUAGUUCAGGUCAAAUAGCCAGUUGACAGAGAUUAAUCAAAACAUGAGAAU
rnacentral:lncRNA from 1 species